rnacentral:rRNA from 1 species
GACGAACGCUGGCGGCGUGCUUAACACAUGCAAGUCGAACGGAAACGCCCUGCUUUUUUCGGUUGCUCGAAUGGCUAACGGGUGAGUAACACGUGAGUAACCUGCCCUUUACUUUGGGAUAACUUCAGGUAACUUGGGCUAAUACCUGAUCGUAGCUCCUGCUGCAUGGUGGGGGUUGGAUACUUUCGGCGGUUCUGGAUGGACUCGCGGCUUAUCUGCUUGUUGGUGGGGUAGUGGCUUACCAAGGCUUUGACGGGUAGCCGGCCUGAGAGGGUGACCGGCGACAAGAGGACUAAGGAAGGGAGCAGACUGCUACAGGAGGCAACAGGGGGAAAUAUGACGAAGAGGGCGGAAGCCUAAUGAAGCGACGUCGGGGGAGGAAAGAAGGCCUUGGGGGUGUAAACCGAGUACAGCUGUGACGAAGCGUGAGUGACGGUAAUGGGUAAAGAAGCACCGGCUAACUACGUG